CAGAAAGUCCUGGCACUGGCUUAGGAGGCUUCAUCGUCUCAGACCUUCCUCUGGGCUUUUGGUCAAAAAAAGAGGAGAAUCCAGCUGUAAAAUACCACUAGUGCUAGCAAGAAAGGGAUGGAAAAGGGUUGUCCUAAAAGGAUGUUCCCCAAUCUCAGACAUCUUUGUGACAGUAUCACGAUUCUCACUGCCACGGAAAACAAAGUGCAUCUCUCUCAUAGUCCUCCCAUGAGAACAACAGAUCUAUGCUGAUAUCCUCCAAAGACAUGCAAGCUGUCCUCCAGGCAUCUAUAUGGAGAUUCUCACAAAGCAAGGCAGGAGAACAACUGAGACCAUCCUAUCAAUGCUUCUAGGGGCUUGAUCCCGAUCCCUGGCUCUGGUCUGGUCAUUAAGUGUGAAAAGUCAGCCACAGUGCUCUACUUCAGUUUAACAAUUGUGCCUGAUUGAAAAUAGUAAAAAGGAACAGUGCAGGGGAGAGAGAGCAAGCAUGUGCAUGCCAUUGCCAUAUCCAUUUACUCUCUGACUCUUCAAACACCCUAAGAAAGAUGAAUACUGACAGUGAGACAGAAACCUGCGAGCAGUGUGGAGAAAAGAAAUGCGGUGACCUCAUUUUUCAUAAGCUCUAUUGCUAUGACCUCUACAUCCCAUCUGCGCCUGCACCACGGAACAAGGAGCAAAUAGAUGUUGACAGAUUUAUUAAUGAGAAUAUUGUGGAAGUCCUGGAGAAUGAUGAUUACUGCUGUUACCAUGGUUGCAGGAAUUUCAUUGGCGGAGAGAUCAUCAUGCAGGCCAUGCAGAAACCCAUGAAAAUUAUCCCUGUUACACUUAUACCAGUGUACAAAGACCAAUAUUUCCUAAGCCUUUUAGAUAUGCUUAUAACUGCAGAUAAGCUGAGGAGAAUAGUGUUACUUUUGUUUGAUUCUACUUAUAUUAGACCCAAUCUAUUGCAAUGUUGCUUUUCAGUAGAAGUAAAUGACCCACAACUUUUGCGCAAAAUAAGGAAAACCAUAGACCGUCAUAGAAGAUUGAUUCCAUUGAGCAGAAGGCAACAGGUAGUAUUGAAGGAAAUGGACCCAGGUAAGAUCAUAGGUCUUGUCAUGUUUAACCGUUGGAUUCAUUUAAUUUAAAGUUUACUUUGCGAUGGAGAGGAAAGGGAGGGUGACAACUUGGAAAGAGGUAGUUUCAAGGUACUGGAUGUUAGAGUUUGCCCAGCAACACUAGCACAAUUUUUGCCAGAUUUCCUCCAUCAAUCAAGACUUCCUCUAUCAGUUUAUCUAGGGCACAAGCUGGGUCAGUGGUUUGUUAUAUAGACAUCAGACUGAUCUAUGACAGCUCACUUCAGGGAGGAUUUUAAACGAUCCCCUUACUUUAAAGUGCCUAAGGCUAUGUCUACCUAUACAAACCCCAUGAUGAGUCAGACGUGCCUAAUUUGGGUACAGUUCUAGGCUCAUAAAUGGUUUCUAAGGCAGACGUAUCUCAUGCUGCACCAGCUAGAAACACAGGCAGAACAAAGACACUCUGUCUGCACUUCAUGAGGUAAUAUAUCCUCAGAGUCUUACCAACACAGUCCUGUGAUUGAUAGUUUUUUUAAACUUUUCUGUCUGUGCAAUCUAGAUCUUUGGUCUCAGAGGGAGAGAGAAAAAUAUAUUCUGCUGAAAUGUAAAAGCCCUCUAAUGCCUCCUGAAAUAAAUUCAUUAGUUGACCUAAAAAUACCUUGCCU
ensembl:lncRNA